rnacentral:misc_RNA from 1 species
GAUGAAGAACGCAGCGAAAUGCGAUAAGUAAUGUGAAUUGCAGAAUUCAGUGAAUCAUCGAAUCUUUGAACGCACCUUGCGCCCUUUGGCCAUUCCGAAGGGCAUGCCUGUUUGAGUAUCAUGAACACCUCAACUCUUCAUGGUUUUCCGUGAUGAGCUUGGACUUUGGGGGUCUUGCUGGCCUAUGGUCAGCUCCUCUAAAAUAAGUCAGCUUGCCAGUGUUUGGUGGGUAUCACAGGUGUGAUAACUAUCUACGCUUGUGGUUUUCCACCAGGUAACCUUCAGCAGUGGAGGUUCGCUGGAGCUCACAGAUGUGUCUCUCCUCAGUGAGGACAGCUCUUUGAAUGUUUGAUCUCAAAUCAGGUAGGACUACCCGCUGAACUUAAGCAUAUCAAUAAGCGGAGGA